UUCGACCACGCCGGCAGUUGCCUGUUGAUCCGCCGCAAUUAUGAUGGACGAAUCACAGUCAACUGUUGGCACGGUCUUU
rnacentral:pre_miRNA from 13 species